GAGGUGAGGUGAAGGCGCCGGGCCUCCCCCGUCCCGGCGUCGUGAGGGCUUCCAGCUGAUACGCAGCUUAAGCGUGUGUGAAGGGAUCGCUGUAAACCUGAGGUCUCGGAUGGCAAAGAGCUGUCUGGAAGAUACAGCCCUCAGGCAAACGGUUUACAUGUUUUGCUGCAGGUGGGGGCUGGCUGGAGCAGCAGUAGUUGUCGGAAGAAAAGCAAAGCUGUUGGUGCUGCUUUGAAGAUCCCCAUUUGAACGAGAUUGAGAAGAUGGAAACUUUCAGUCCACAACUGAAAUGGGACUACUGGAGCAGUACUUGUUUUCAGGAUCUGGAUGUAGUAACUUGAACCAUCAGAGGUGGUUGGGGGCAAGGUAUAACAAGAAUCACAUAUACAAUUUGUUAAUUGUUAAUCCCCUCUCACUGCUUGUUUAAAAUGAUAUUUUUUACAUGACCUCUAUUUAUUAAACUUAUUUAUA